rnacentral:lncRNA from 1 species
CUUAGUUGAAAUUCACUAAAAUAAAUGGAUUCCAACACUAGCCAUGCAACAAGAUCAGGCAAAAAUGGAAUUGUUUUUCCAAAAGAAGAGGAUGUUUCGACUAUUGUAGGCAAGAAAAUAGCUGAGGCUGGAAGAAAGCGGUCGAAUCUACUGUUGAUGCAGUCAAGAACCACUGCAUCCUAAUUAACAUCCUGGAAAUGUAGAGCCGCGGAUUCAACACCUAGCGAGCAAGUUUUUUAAUAUUUUACUUGUUUGUGUACUGUAAUUUCUGUGUCUGCACUUACGCAUAUAGCAAAAAAGGUAAAAAAAAGCAGGUGAUGUGAUACAUAUGCUUAUGUUACACUUAUGGAAACCUUACU